rnacentral:rRNA from 1 species
UACGUAGGUGGCAAGCGUUGUCCGGAUUUAUUGGGUUUAAAGGGUGCGUAGGCGGUCCCAUAAGUCAGUGGUGAAAUACUCUAGCUUAACUAGAGGGGUGCCAUUGAUACUGCGGGACUUGAGUGGAGUUGAAGUGGGCGGAAUUGACGGUGUAGCGGUGAAAUGCUUAGAUCUCGUCAAGAACACCGAUAGUGAAGACAGCUCACUAAGCUCAAACUGACGCUGAGGCACGAAAGUGUGGGGAUCAAACAGG